AAAGUCGUAACAAGGUCUCCGUUGGUGAACCAGCGGAGGGAUCAUUACAGAGUGUAAAAACUCCCAAACCCACUGUGAACAUACCACUGUUGCUUCGGCAGGACCGCCCCAGGCGCGCUCGCGUGCCCUGGAACCAGGCGCCCGCCGGGGACCCCCAAACCACUGUUUCCCCUCUAGGAUCUCUGAGUCUGAUUCCACAGAAUCAAUCAAAACUUUCAACAACGGAUCUCUUGGCUCUG
rnacentral:misc_RNA from 1 species